rnacentral:sRNA from 1 species
AAUAUUUCCUUGUUUGAAGAUACAAAGUCAAAGACUCAUACGGACUUCGGCUACACCAUCAAAACUUUGUGAGGCAAUAAGAAGCUUCGUUAGUUUUUUGGAGUCAAAUAUGACUAGAUGUCAUGUGUAUGAUUAAGUAUAAGAACUAGAACCACAACUGAUUCCCAAAAGCUAAAGUAAUGUUUCCUUGUUAGAAGAUACAAAGCUAAAAACUCAUACGGACUUCGGCUAAGCCAUCAAAAUUUUGAGAAGCAAUAAGAAGCUUGGUUAGUGUUUUAGAGUCAAAUAUGACUAGAUGUCAUGUGUAUGAUUGAGUAUAAGAACUAGAACCGCAACCAUUUCCCAAAAGCUAAAGUAGUGUUUCCUUGUUAGAAGCUACAAAGCCAAAGACUCAUACGGACUUCGGCUACACCAUCAAAGUUUUGAGAAGCAAU